rnacentral:snRNA from 1 species
GUGCUCGCUUCGACAGCACAUAUACUAAAAUUGGAACGAUACAGAAAAGAUUAGCAUGGCCCCUGCGCGAGGAUGACACACAAAUUCGUGAAGCGUUCCAUAUUUUU